GCCGCAUGCUUAACACAUGCAAGUCGAACGGAAUAAUUUAGCUUGCUAACUUAUUUAGUGGCAAACGGGUGAGUAACGCGUGGGAAUCUACCUUGUAGUACGGAAUAACAAUUAGAAAUGAUUGCUAAUACCGUAUGGUCUCUUCGGAGUAACGAUUUAUCUCUACAAGAUGAGCCCGCGUAAGAUUAGCUAGUUGGUGGGGUAAUGGCCUACCAAGGCAACGAUAUUUAGCUGGUCUGAGAGGACGGCCGGCCACACUGGGACGGAGACACUGCCCAGACACCUACGGGAGGCAUCAGUGGGGAAUAUUGGGCAAUGGGCGAAAGCCUGAGUCAGCGAUGCCGCGUGAAUGAUGAAGGCCUUAGGGUUGUUAAGUUCUUUUAGUGGGGGAAAUAAUGAUGGUACCCACAGAAAAAGCUCCGACUAACUCCGUGCCAGCCGCCGCAGUAA
rnacentral:rRNA from 1 species